UACCAGCACCCCGAGUGGUCGGGACGUCUAUUGGGCCUAAAGCAUCCGUAGCCGGUUCUACGAGUCUUCCGUUAAAUCCAACUGCUUAACAGGUGGGCUGCGGAAGAUACUAUAGAGCUAGGAGGCGGGAGAGGCAAGCGGUACUCGAUGGGUAGGGGUAAAAUCCGUUGAUCCAUUGAAGACCACCAGUGGCGAAGGCGGCUUGCCAGAACGCGCUCGACGGUGAGGGAUGAAAGCUGGGGGAGCAACCGG
rnacentral:rRNA from 1 species